CAAUGAGGGUGAGAGUCCUGUUUGUCAUGUGCAGCCUUCUGUGCACGGUGUAUAUUUGCUGAGUCACACUCCUUGGCAUUGGAAUGCAAAGUGGGUGGUAAGUUUCAUGCAAAGGUAAAUAUGCAAUUGAGACUGAUAGCGCACAAGUACCAUGAGGGACAUAUGAAAAGGACUUUGAAAAGAGAAUUAAAUGAGUUUGUAUUUGCUAAACACAAAGUAAACAGACUUGAUUUCCUCAGUGAGAUUGUAGUGCUUGCUUAACAAUGGGUUUUGGCUGCAAGUGCAAUAAUUCUUGCUUUGUGUGCCAGUUUUUAUGUGGACAUUUGAUUACCUUUGCACAUGAAUGGUAAUUUUCCUGCGGGGUGUGGAUUGCAUAUGCAUGUAAUGAUUUGCAUGUUUGUUAAAUGUGUCUGGUGUAUUUGUUUGUGUCCUUGUCCUUGAGGUUGCUUUCUCCCUUGGGCUUACAUGCCCUGGCACACACAUUCUGGCAAAAUGCUUCUGCUUGACCCGUCUUGAAACACGGACCAAGGAGUCUAACAGAUGUGCAAGUUUGAAGGUGGUAUACCUGUGUGUGUAAUGAAAGUAUUGGCUGGGAUAUUUGCACCAGCAGCCGACUAAUUAGCAGACAGAGGUUUGAGUUGGAGCAUAUCUAUUAGGACCCGAAAGAUGGUGAACUAUGCUUGAACAGAAAGAAUUCAGAGGAAACUCUGAUGGAGGUUCGUAUCGAUACUGACGUGCAAAUCGUUCGUCAUAUUUGGGUAUAGGGGCGAAAGACUAAUCGAACCAUCUAGUAGCUGGUUCCCUCCGAAGUUUCCCUCAGGAUAGCUGGAGUUGCACAGUUUUAUCAGGUAAAGCGAAUGAUUAGAGGAAUUGGGGACAGAUGUGUCCUUGACCUAUUCUCAAACUUUAAAUGGGUAAUAUGUAGUGGUUGCUUGAUGGAACUUCUAAAAUGAAUGGCAAUAUUAGGUGGGCCAUUUUUGGUAAGCAGAACUGGCGAUGAGGGAUGAACCUAAUGCUGGGUUAAGGUGCUUAA
rnacentral:rRNA from 1 species